rnacentral:lncRNA from 1 species
GUAUUUAAAAAAUAGCAUGAAAUUAAAAAAAAAAACUGCUAUCAUAUCAGUAUAGUAAAAAAGUAGCUUAUUCUGAUCAAGAUUGUUUAAAAAGGAUCCUACCACAAACAACAGAACAUACAGGAUUAUUGACAGCUUUUUCCCUGCCUGAAAGUAAGCCUUGUCCAGGCCAUCUCCACUAUCUCCAAAUUCUUAUUGGAGGAGCAGUGUGGGGAGGGGAGAGCAAAAAGAAAAAAUAAGGUGAAAAGAUUUCUAAGAAAUAAAACGUCAACAUACUGCAAAUAUUAGAGAGAUUCCCUAAAAUCUAAAAACAAAUACAUCUGCUAAUGGGUUUAACCAGAUUGAUGGAAAGCUCAAUAUUUUUGAAAUCCACUAGAUUUCCAUACACCAGCAAAAAACAAAUAGAAAAUAUUAAAGGUCAAUAGGCAGAGUAGAAAGCAAAUACUGACAGGAGAAAAAGGGAAAAAUCAUUCAAUCAUGUGAUGUCUUUCAGCAUUCUUCUGAUCAAUUUAUUUUUUGACAGGCAGAGUGGACAGUGAGAGAGAGAGACAGAGAGAAAGGUCUUCCUUUGUUUCCGUUGGUUCACCCUCCAAUGGCCGCUGCAUCUUCUGAUCAAUAUUAAAAAGUAACACAAACGACCCAACAGGAAAAUGAGUCACAAUAUGAAGAAAAUAAAGCCCAGAGGCCGAUGCACAGAACUGUGACUCACUGAAGCAGUUACUGCACCGAGAGCUCCAGCAGGGACCCAUCAGGGAGGACAGGGCCACAGGAGGGACCUGGCGGGUGCAGGAGCAGAGGGGAGAGGCCUCCCGCCUGGGGAGGUGGAGUCCGACCUGCACCCAGGCCUCGCCUCCUGCUGCUCCCACCCAGCACAACCUGAAGUCAGGGGCCCAUUGCCCUGCAGGAUGUUGAUAGGAUGCAUCCGUUGCGAGGUUGUGUGUGCUCACGGCCAUGCACGCUGUCCAAUCAGGCACGACGACGUCCACGCCGCGUCAUCACGCGGGAUCUUGACGUCACAGUCAUCUUACAGUUCUGGGCAGGAGCGAGGUGCUAGGAGAUGGCUCCACUACCCCGAUGCUCCCGAAGUAAGUCGGGCUCCGUGGCCUCCACCUUCAUCACCGGGGGACGCUGGACACCUGGAGCUGAAAACCGCGACGUGCUUUCUUCCAAUCAAUAUUAAAAAGUAACACAAACGACCCAACAGGAAAAUGAGUCACAAUAUGAAGAAGCCCAGAGGCCGACGCACAGAACUGUGACUCACUGAAGCAGUUACUGCACCGAGAGCUCCAGCAGGGACCCAUCAGGGAGGACAGGGCCACAGGAGGGACCCGGCGGGUGCAGGAGCAGAGGGGAGAGGCCUCCCGCCUGGGGAGGUGGAGUCCGACCUGCACCCAGGCCUCGCCUCCUGCUCUCCCACCCAGCACAACCUGAAGUCA